GCAAUGAGCACAACCCUCGUGUUUAGUUGGCAGCAUUGAGUUUGGAACCCUGAACAGACUGUCGGUGAUAAGCUGGAGGAAGGUGAGGAUGACGUCAAGUCAUCAUGCCCCUUACGCCCUGGGCGACACACAUGCUACAAUGACCGGGACAAAGGGUCGUGACCCCAUGAGGGCAAGCUAACCUCAAAAACCCGGCCUCAGUUUGGAUUGUAGGCUGCAACUCGCCUGCAUGAAGCCGGAAUCGCUAGUAAUCGUCGGUCAUCCAUACGGCGGUGAAUCCGUUCUCGGGCCUUGUACACAUCGCCUGUCACACUAUGGGAGCUGGCCAUGCCCCAAGUCAUUACCUUAACCACAAGGAGGGGGAUGCAGAAGGCUGGGCUAGUUACUGGAGUGAAGUUGUAACAAGGUAGCCGUACUGGAAGGUGCAGUUGGAUCACCUCCUUU
rnacentral:ncRNA from 1 species